rnacentral:rRNA from 1 species
UGGGGAAUAUUGGACAAUGGGCGAAAGCCUGAUCCAGCCAUGCCGCGUGAGUGAUAAGGCCUUCGGGUUGUAAAGCUCUUUCAGGGGUGACGAUGAUGACGGUAACCCCAGAAGAAGCCCCGGCUAACUUCGUGCCAGCAGCCGCGGUAAUACGAAGGGGGCGAGCGUUGUUCGGAAUUACUGGGCGUAAAGGGCGUGUAGGCGGCGUUGCAAGUUGGGGGUGAAAGCCCAGGGCUCAACCCUGGAAUUGCCUCCAAAACUGCAACGCUUGAGUCCGGAAGAGGUGCAUGGAAUUCCCAGUGGAGAGGUGAAAUUCGUAGAGAUUGGGAAGAACACCGGUGGCGAAGGCGGUGCACUGGUCCGGUACUGACGCUGAGGCGCGACAGCGUGGGGAGCAAACAGGAUUAGAUACCCCCGUAGUCC